rnacentral:rRNA from 1 species
GAUGAACGCUGGCGGCGUGCCUAAUACAUGCAAGUCGAGCGAACAGAUGAGGAGCUUGCUCCUCUGACGUUAGCGGCGGACGGGUGAGUAACACGUGGAUAACCUACCUAUAAGACUGGGAUAACUUCGGGAAACCGGAGCUAAUACCGGAUAAUAUAUUGAACCGCAUGGUUCAAUAGUGAAAGACGGUUUUGCUGUCACUUUUAGAUGGAUCCGCGCCGCAUUAGCUAGUUGGUAAGGUAACGGCUUACCAAGGCAACGAUGCGUAGCCGACCUGAGAGGGUGAUCGGCCACACUGGAACUGAGACACGGUCCAGACUCCUACGGGAGGCAGCAGUAGGGAAUCUUCCGCAAUGGGCGAAAGCCUGACGGAGCAACGCCGCGUGAGUGAUGAAGGUCUUCGGAUCGUAAAACUCUGUUAUUAGGGAAGAACAAAUGUGUAAGUAACUAUGCACGUCUUGACGGUACCUAAUCAGAAAGCCACGGCUAACUACGUG